CCCAAAUGCCUAUCGAAACCCCGUAAGGCUUAGCAUCAACUUUCGCAUCUCCCCGGUGAGCAACAAUUAUUAAAUCUCGCAUUUAAAAAAAAUCAUAAGUCAUUUUCAAAUAAGAACAAUAAAAUAUUAUUUUCUGGCUCAUAGGGGCAUUUUCGUAAUUUUUCUUCAAAAAUCUCAAAACUUGCUAAAAAUGUAAUAGGUAAGCAGAAAAUAUAUAUUUAAUGAUUUAAAAACAAAAUAAGUAUCUAAAACGUUCAUUUGAAAGCAAAUUGUUAACAACUAGUACUAUUCAAAAA
rnacentral:lncRNA from 1 species